UAAUACCUGCAGCUCUAGUGGUGGCCGCUAUUAUUGGGCCUAAAACGUCCGUAGCCGGUUUAAUAAAUGCCUGGGUAAAUCGUGUAGCUUAACUAUACGAAUUCCGGGUAGACUGUUAAACUUGAGACCGGGAGAAGUUAGAGGUACUCCUGGGGUAGAGGUGAAAUUCUGUAAUCCUAGGGGGACCACCAGUGGCGAAGGCGUCUGACUAGAACGGGUCUGACGGUGAGGGACGAAGCCCUGGGGCGCAAACCGGAUUAGAUACCCGGGUAGUCCAGGGUGUAAACGCUGCUUGCUUGAUGUUAGUCGGGCUCCGAGCCCGAUUAGUGUCGGAGAGAAGUUGUUAAGCAAGCUGCCUGGGAAGUACGGUCGCAAGACUG
rnacentral:rRNA from 1 species